AUCUAAUGGUGAGGGCAAUUUGUGCACAAUAUCUUAAAUCUCUCCCAAUACUCAUACAAUCUCUCACCAUGUUGCUACCUAAUUCUAGAGAUGUCCUUUAUGAU